AGUGUUGUGGCUCAGUGGUGGAGCGCUUACCUAACAUGCGUGAGGCACUGGGUUCAAUCCCCAGCACCACAU
rnacentral:tRNA from 1 species